rnacentral:rRNA from 1 species
UACGGAGGAUGCGAGCGUUAUCCGGAUUUAUUGGGUUUAAAGGGUGCGUAGGCGGGUUAUCAAGUCAGCGGUAAAAUCGUGGAGCUCAACUCCAUCCAGCCGUUGAAACUGAUGAUCUUGAGUGGGCGAGAAGUAUGCGGAAUGCGUGGUGUAGCGGUGAAAUGCAUAGAUAUCACGCAGAACUCCGAUUGCGAAGGCAGCAUACCGGCGCCCGACUGACGCUGAAGCACGAAAGCGUGGGUAUCAAACAGG